rnacentral:rRNA from 1 species
UGGGGAAUAUUGCACAAUGGGCGCAAGCCUGAUGCAGCCAUGCCGCGUGUAUGAAGAAGGCCUUCGGGUUGUAAAGUACUUUCAGCGGGGAGGAAGGGAGUAAAGUUAAUACCUUUGCUCAUUGACGUUACCCGCAGAAGAAGCACCGGCUAACUCCGUGCCAGCAGCCGCGGUAAUACGGAGGGUGCAAGCGUUAAUCGGAAUUACUGGGCGUAAAGCGCACGCAGGCGGUUUGUUAAGUCAGAUGUGAAAUCCCCGGGCUCAAUCUGGGAACUGCAUCUGAUACUGGCAAGCUUGAGUCUCGUAGAGGGGGGUAGAAUUCCAGGUGUAGCGGUGAAAUGCGUAGAGAUCUGGAGGAAUACCGGUGGCGAAGGCGGCCCCCUGGACGAAGACUGACGCUCAGGUGCGAAAGCGUGGGGAGCAAACAGG